rnacentral:rRNA from 1 species
AUGAUUCCAGGACCUGGAAUCAUACCAGCCGAUGGGUGGUCAUUUAUCGCUCGUUCAGCUGACGGCAGUCAUUUGAUGCUCAUUCGCACGUACCAAAUUAACCAAACCAUUACAUCAAACCACAUGCAGUACAAUGCGUGGGGCGUUCGUGACAUUGAUGGCUAUGGCUGCUUCGUAUUCGAGAAAGAUCCCAGCUCCGUUGGGCCAGGCUCGAAGAAGGAUUGGCCGGUGCUGCCGGCUGGCAUCAAGUUCGAUCCCACGGAUCAGGAGCUGAUCGAGCACCUUGAGGCUAAAGUGAGUGCUGACAGCGCGAGAUUUCAGUCUCUCAUCAAUUUGUUCAUACCAACCAUCGACAGCGAGCAUGGCAUAUGCUACACCCAACCCGAGAAACUUCCAGACCUGUCGGAGUGCGGCAUGCACGCGAUGUGGCACAAGACCGGCAAUACCUUGCCGGUGAUGAUCAACGGCCAGCAGACGGGCAGCAAAAAAGGUUCUGGUGCUGCACACCAACAAGAACUUCAACCAGCAGAGGACCAAGUGGAUGAUGCACCAGUACCACCUCGGGGACCUGGAGCAAGAGAAGGUGCGGGAACUGGUCCUCUGCAAGAUUUUCUACCAGACGAACACUAG